rnacentral:rRNA from 1 species
AUGAACGCUGGCGGCAUGCCUUACACAUGCAAGUCGAACGGCAGCACGGGCUUCGGCCUGGUGGCGAGUGGCGAACGGGUGAGUAAUACAUCGGAACGUGCCCUGUUGUGGGGGAUAACCAGUCGAAAGAUUGGCUAAUACCGCAUACGACCUGAGGGUGAAAGCGGGGGACCGCAAGGCCUCGCGCAGCAGGAGCGGCCGAUGUCUGAUUAGCUAGUUGGUGGGGUAAAGGCCCACCAAGGCGACGAUCAGUAGCUGGUCUGAGAGGACGAUCAGCCACACUGGGACUGAGACACGGCCCAGACUCCUACGGGAGGCAGCAGUGGGGAAUUUUGGACAAUGGGGGCAACCCUGAUCCAGCAAUGCCGCGUGUGUGAAGAAGGCCUUCGGGUUGUAAAGCACUUUUGUCCGGAAAGAAAACCUCCGCCCGAAUACGGUGGGGGGAUGACGGUACCGGAAGAAUAAGCACCGGCUAACUACGUGCCAGCAGCCGCGGUAAUACGUAGGGUGCGAGCGUUAAUCGGAAUUACUGGGCGUAAAGCGUGCGCAGGCGGUUUGACAAGACAGGCGUGAAAUCCCCGGGCUUAACCUGGGAAUGGCGCUUGUGACUGUCAGGCUAGAGUAUGUCA